UUUGCGGCUUUUUCCCCCCGCCGCCGCGGCUUUUUGCGGCUUUUUGACCUCGCCACCGCGGCUUUUUGCCCCUCCACCGUAGCUUUUUCCCCCGACGCCGUGGCUUUUUGCCCCGGCCUCGGCGGUUUUUUGCCCCCUACGCCGAGGCUUUUUCCCCGCCGUGGCUUUUUCCCCCCGCCGCCGCGGCUUUUUGUGGGUUUGUUUUUUUUUGCCGCCGCGGCUUUUUGCCCCGCCGCCGCCGCUUUUUGCCGCCGCGGCUUUUUACCCCCGCCGCCGAGGAUUUUUGCCCCCGCCGCCGCGGCUCUGAGGGCGGGAGCGGCACACUCGGCUGCCAGCUCCACUGGCGUUCUGGCAAGGGCAGCGCGGAGGGGCGCUCCUGGUCCAGCUCUCCCUGCUCGGGAGUGUAUGAAUGCUUUGUGUUCUGACAAAGAGACUGUAGCUCCCAUGUCCUACCUGCUUGGUUGCAUUGCCAGUGCCCACGGUAGGCCAUUUUAUCCACGUUUUUAUGUUUUAUUUUGUUUUGUUUUGUUUUUUUCUUUUCAGGAGAGUUAGUCCAAGACCAAUAACUCCAUAACUGGUAGAAUUGGAAGACUUUAAUAGUGCAUAACAUUUUGUACAUAGUUUUAUAACAGUUUUCUUUUUCUUUUUUUCUGAUUCUUUUCAAUAUACCCCAUCAUGAUUGAACUCAAAGUCAUUGCUUGUUUAAAAUCUACAACUGCUGACGUUUUGUAACCUUCGCAUUCCAGAUACAACAGAGAAAUGCAUAAUGUCCAGUGAAUUUAUUAAAGUUCCAAAGUCGGUCGCGCGCAGUGGCUCACGCCUGUAAUCUCAACACUUCGGGAGGCCGAGGCGUGUGGAUCACGAGGUCAGGAGCUGGAGACUAGCCUGACCAACAUGGUGAAACCCCGUCUCUACUAAAAAUACAAAAAUUAGCCAGGCAUGGUGGCACGUGGCUGUAAUCCUCGCUACUCAGGAGGCUGAGGCAGGAGAAUUGCUUGAACCUGGGAGGCAGAGGUUGCAGUGAGCCGAGAUGGCGCCACGGCACUCCAGCCUGGGCGAAAGAGUGAGACUCCUUCUCAAAAAAAGAAAAAAAAAAAAGAGUUGCUAAGUCAUACUCAACUUUCUGCUCUUGUCAGACAAUUAAGGGGUCUUUGAAUACUUCAGCCCUAAUAAUUUUCUUCCUAAGGUACACAUUGCAGUGCUUAUCUAAUUUUAAAUAUCUUUUUGUUUCAACACCUGAUUUUUUAUUUAGAUCUAUCUGUAUGUUUACAGUAUAUUUUGUUCUGUGUUCAUUCUUUGAUUUCAGAACUUCAACCUUUCUGAAGCAUGUUUUCAGUUUCUCUUUAGUUUCUUUAGUGGAAUUCUGCUGGUGGCAUUUUGUUUUUUGUCUCUAAAUAUGUUAUUUAGCCAUAGGUUGAUGAAUAUUUUUCUUGGUUGAGAAUUUCAGAAUGACAUUAUUAUUCUUAACAAAUAAUAUUGUUUAUUUUACCUUUCAUUCUUUCCUAUUUCAAUAUGAUUAAAGAUAAUUUGAUUUUUCUAGUGCUAAUUGAAA